GUAGGGUGCGAGCGUUAAUCGGAAUUACUGGGCGUAAAGUGUGCGCAGGCGGCCGCGCAAGUCGAGUGUGAAAGCCCCGAGCUUAACUUGGGAAUUGCGCUCGAAACUACGUGGCUGGAGUGUGGCAGAGGAAGGUGGAAUUCCACGUGUAGCGGUGAAAUGCGUAGAGAUGUGGAGGAACACCGAUGGCGAAGGCAGCCUUCUGGGCCAACACUGACGCUCAUGCACGAAAGCGUGGGGAGCAAACAGGAUUAGAUACCCUGGUAGUCCACGCCCUAAACGAUGAUGACUAGUUGUUGGAGGAGUUAAAUCCUUUAGUAACGCAGCUAACGCGUGAAGUCAUCCGCCUGGGGAGUACGGUCGCAAGAUUAAA
rnacentral:rRNA from 1 species